ensembl:lncRNA
GUUGAUGCCUGACUCAAUCAUAAUAAUCAAGCGCUUCUACCGUCCGAUUGGCUAAGCCGCACCGCCAACUCUGUGCCGUUGAAAGAAGCUAUUAGUCCGCGCAAAAUAAAUUGGAUCUUAUCGCUAUGUACCAGCAUAUGAUUUUCCAUCAGUUAAGUUCGGCGUUGCCUGGAAAUAUGAUGGAAAGGCCUGAGCGCUCUACCCGGGCAAAAGGACAGCGGGGGAAUGAAGGAGAAAGCUCCGAUAUGCCUACUGCUGUUAGUAAUAUCGAAAAUAUUCAACCACACAAAGUGCAAUGGAAGAAAAGGUCGGAAGAGCUGCAGUCCCGAAUCAAUGAGCUGGAGGAGGAGAAUGCUUUGCUCAAGCAGCAGCUUGAGCAAAGGCCUUCAGCAAAUCAAGGUGAGAAAAUGGACAACACUGCCACCGACCCAGAGUCAGACACUGACUCGAGUUCCAACUCCAGCACUGACUCCACCGAUUCCAGGAGCAGUGAUACAAGCUCUUCCUCCUCUGAUGGCCGCAAGAAAAAGAGGAAGCACAAAAAGAAAAAACAAAAAGAAGAGCAAAAAGGCUUCAAAGAACAAAGGACUUCGAGGUAAAGUAAACUAUAGAGUUGUGCUGUAUUUCUUUAGGUUUGGACAUUAAAUAUAGUGUAUACAGCUUAGG